rnacentral:lncRNA from 1 species
UAGAAGUGGAAGCAGGAGGAGGGACAGGGAGGGAGGUGAGGCUGCAGGCAGGGUCCGGCCAGGACUCACCAAGGCCUGUUUCCUUGCGCUUAUAGUGCUCCCCGAAGGACACCAGCCCGAUGGAGAUGGUCUGCAGGAAUGGCCGGAUGGCAGGCGUGAACUGUGGAGAGAUGCCGCUGUGUCACCCACUGCCCAGGAAGGACCGGAGGCAGGCAGGAGUGAGGGGCAGAGACGUGGUUUGUGGGGAGGCGUGGUCAUUCAACACACAUUUAGUGAGCUCCAGUACUG